GACGAACGCUGGCGGCGUGCCUAAUACAUGCAAGUCGAACGCAGUGGGGACGGGUGAGUAACACGUGGGUAACCUCCCAUCAGAGUGGCUAACACUUGGAAACAACUGCUAAACCGAUAUUGAUUGAUGGACCCGCGGUGCAUUAGCUAGUGGGUGGGGUAACGGCUCACCAAGGCAACGAUGCAUAGCCGACCUGAGAGGGUGAUCGGCCACACUGGGACUGAGACACGGCCCAGACUCCUACGGGAGGCAGCAGUAGGGAAUCUUCGGCAAUGGACGAAAGUCUGACCGAGCAACGCCGCGUGAGUGAAGAAGGUUUUCGGAUCGUAAAACGCUGUUGUUAGAGAAGCGGUAUCUAACGAGAAAGCAACGGCUAACUACGUGCCAGCAGCCGCGGUAAUUC
rnacentral:rRNA from 1 species